CAGCCACGUCGCGUGAAGGAGACGGCCUUAGGGUUGUAAACUUUUUUUGCAAGGGAAUAAAGUUGGCCACUCGUGGCCUUUUGCAUGUACCUUGCGAAUAAGGAUCGGCUAACUCUGUGCCAGCAGCCGCGGUAAU
rnacentral:rRNA from 1 species